AAGCGGGCGCCACAAUGCCAGCGCAGAGCCCAAUGCGGGGGCUCGAACCCACAAACGGUGAGCUCGCGACCUGAGCCGAGAUCAAGAGCUGGAGGCUUAACCCGCUGAGCCCCCCGGGCGCCCCCGGGAGGCGUUUCUAAUCCCCGCACACAGUCAGGCAACAUGUGCCAACGGCUUGUAAAGUCACCAAAACACAUCCCAAGUCCGUGAUCGCUUUUCUGCGUGUCACUUCAUAAACAGCUCACCGCGCGCGCUCGGAGCCCACGUUGGCCCGCUCGCCACGGCCGACCGUUGGGUCACGCGGCCACGGCGUGUAUUUAAGCAUCAGCCUUUCCGUGGCCUUCUAGGUUGUUCCUCUUUCUUUGCUUUGUAAAUACAAUGGUUUCAAAACCUUUGUCCCAAGUUGCCUUUUUUUUCCUUUUUUGACUUAAUUCCUCGAGAUACCUCCUCAGGAAUGAAAUUACUGACUCAAAAACCAUGACAUUUGAAUGGCUUUAGAUGCGCACUGCCCAACCGUCCUCAGGAAGGGUUGUAACGGUUUCGAAAGCCACGUCUCCGCACCACUCGCUAGGAACCGUGCUGUGUCUCACGCGAGGCCUAGGGCAGCUGGCGGGGGGCUGGGGGAUGGUCAUCACGCUUCCCGGAUGAGAACAUCAGGUGUAGACGGGCCAGCCAGCUCAGGGCCCAGCCGAGGUGCACUUGGCCGCGGGCUCCACGGCCCGUGCCCGCCCCCCCCCCCCCCCCCCCAGGCCAGCCGAGAGUGUCAACUCAACUGCAAAGGACGGGCUCUCCCCGACCCGUCUCAGUGAGAGAAGUCUGUUCCAUCUCCGCCGUCGUCUUCGGUCGGUCUUCAGUCAACGAAUUUCACUCAGAAGCUCAUCCUGAACCCUCAGGCGGGAUCCAACAGGAUUUGUCCGAGCUUGCCCCCGGACCACGCAGCAUGGAAACACGGCCACCAGACUAAACCCCAGGCUCCCUGCAGCAGUGGAGGGAAGCCCUCACCGUGGCUGAGCCGUACAGCUUGCCACGAUGAUUGUUUGUGACCUUGGACGUGCCAUUUCACCACCUAGGACCUCAGCUGCCCCAUCUGCGACACAGGAACAAUACAGAUAAACUGGCACAGGUGAAAAGUCUCAGUCCCAGCCAGACCUUCUCGUGGGCCCCCGCACAAUCGUGACCUUCCUUACUCAGUUGGACGUUCUCCCAGGAGCCUCAAGGCCGCCAAACAGCAGGUCCCCACAGAGAUACUGGGUGCUGAGUCCUGAGAUCCUGGGUGAGCUAGCUCAAGGUGAGUCACUUCGGAUGGGCUUCCCGCCUCUUCUCCCUCUUGCUUCAAAGAAACUGGAAGGGUGAGGGCGCCUGGCUGGCUCAGAGCACAUGACUCUUGAUCUCAGGGUCAUGAGUUUGAGCUCCAUGUUGGGUGUAGAGAUUACUUAAAACUUAAAAAAAAAAAAAAACCAGAACUGGAAGGGAAGAAUGCCAACAUUGGCUUUUGGAGAGCAGGCAGGUGCCAUGCAAAUAACACCCCAGCAAUGCCCACAGGAAGGGUCUUCUGUGAAAUUCUACGCUGAGUCCUACUUGGUUCAAGGAACGGCCGGAAAGACCCUAACCAUGAAAUGAUUAGAUACAUGGAUUUUGGUCAUGUGUCUAUUCAUUCAACAAAUAUUUACUGAGUGCCUACUAAGUGCCAGGUGCUGGGCUAGACAAUGGCAUGCUGGUAAACAGGCUGUCCAAAAACAAAAGUUAAAAGGCCCUGAUUUUUUUUUUUUGAGUAGGUUCCGCACCCAAUGGGGGGCUCGAAGUCAUGACCUCAAGAUCAAGAGUCACAUGUUCCACCAAAUGAGCCUGCCACACACCCCAAAAAAGCCCCAAUUUAAAGCAUCUGUCAACUACCGUGGUGUGAAUACUCCCACUAUGGUCCAUUAUCAGCUGUAGGACGUCACCGAAUGUGGAACUGGGAGGAGAGAGGCACGACCGGUUCUCGUCGGCACAGGCUGGCUGCAGCACGCCACCAGACGAUGAGCAAAACACACAGACUCUACCUUCAUGAGCACGUGGCAUAAUUACUAACGUUUCCUGAGCGUUCGCUGUGAGCCAGAUAAUAUUCUAAUAAGUUCAUCAUUACAAACCGUUAAGUUGUCACGACAAACCCUAUAUGGGGGGUUUUAUCAUCGGAUAACAGGAAACUGCACACAUAAUCUCGAAGUGGGAAGCCAACAGACAGGGUACUGGAAUAAACUAUCGACAAGGGGGCAGGGGCAGGACAUGAUGACCAGGGCAGAAUCUCUCCCCGCCUGGGUACCUUAAUGAAUAAGCACAGGAGGGCCGCAUGCUACGCUGUUCACCCAUCCCGCUGGUUAAACCACUGAAAUUUGGGGAUGGUUAUGCUAGCUAGAAUCAUCCUGGAACAAAUAUUUUCAGUUGGUGGCAAGUAUUUGUUGUAUUUGUCACACAGAGGACAUCAUUCCACGGCUUUCUGAUUUCCAUGGUUGAACGUUGAGAAGUCGGCUAUCGGUAUAAAUGUUGCCACUUUUACAGACAGCGGGGUUUUUCUCUAAUCCCUUAAAAACAUCUUCCUGUGCAAUGAUUUUAAUAGGCAUCUCUAACAUACAAAGAAUAGGGGCGCCUAGGUGGUUCAGUCGGGUAAGCCUCUGGCUCUUGGUUUCAGCUCAGGUCCUGAUCUCAUGGUUCGUGGCAUCGGGUUCUGGGUUGACAGCUUGGAGCCUGCUUA